CGUGGCCAUCCCUGGUCGGUUCCACUGGGAGAGGAGAGGAGGUCACCAGGCCAUGUUGGUGUGCCACGUUGGGUAUACUUGUCCUUACCAACCUCCUCAACUGUAAGAGCAACCAGAGUAACUGCCCUUCAAAUUUCUGAUAAUGUUGGAAAGAAUUGACUGCUUUGACUUUGGACCCAAACAUUUGCAAGACUGCUCGAUGUUUUAAGGACCUGUAAGGAGGCUGAGGAAUAAGACGUCUGACACAGAGAACUGUGGCUGAAACCUUCCUAAGACUGCUGCCAUUGUGCAAACCAAGUGCACACCAGUAGGAGAGCAGUGCCACAACCGAGCAAUGGCACAAAGCAUCACAGGAGGGGGAGAGAUGGUUCUGAUGUAACAGGGAGUCAGAUGGGGAGUUGACCUCUGUGCCUCCAGCAGCAAUACAACGCAUGGCCUCAGCACGAGGACAUGGGAAUGGGGUCUGAGCAGCUUUUGCAGGAUGGCUGCACAGAAUCUGUGCUGAGGAGUUC
rnacentral:lncRNA from 1 species